rnacentral:rRNA from 1 species
GACGAACGCUGGCGGCGUGCCUAAUACAUGCAAGUCGAGCGAAGUUUUUCUGGUGCUUGCACCGGAAAAACUUAGCGGCGAACGGGUGAGUAACACGUAAAGAACCUGCCUCAUAGACUGGGACAACUAUUGGAAACGAUAGCUAAUACCGGAUAACAGCAUUAACUGCAUGGUUGAUGUUUAAAAGUUGGUUUUGCUAACACUAUGAGAUGGCUUUGCGGUGCAUUAGCUAGUUGGUGGGGUAAAGGCCUACCAAGGCGACGAUGCAUAGCCGACCUGAGAGGGUGAUCGGCCACACUGGGACUGAGACACGGCCCAGACUCCUACGGGAGGCAGCAGUAGGGAAUCUUCCGCAAUGGGCGAAAGCCUGACGGAGCAACGCCGCGUGAGUGAAGAAGGAUUUCGGUUCGUAAAGCUCUGUUGUUAGGGAAGAAUGAUUGUGUAGUAACUAUACACAGUAGAGACGGUACCUAACCAGAAAGCCACGACUAACUACGUG